UCAUCAGCGCUCCGCCGGCGGGCAGCCAUGUGCGUCGAGUUCGUGAUCUUCGUGCGCAACCUGGGAGCCCUGGUCAGGGCCACGGUGGGUGGUCACUCCGUGGAACGGCCACAGCCAACGGACACACCUGAAUUUGGCGGCCACGUGGUUGAGCGAUCGAGUCGUGAGGUGGGCACCAAGGUGAAGGAGUCCUAGACUGGGACGUGGCCGUGGCCGGUGAAGCUGCGGGAACCUUCCUCGUUUCGUGACCACUAUACUACCACCGUUACCACCACUACUACCACCACCUUCCGCUGGUUCCCGGUUCGAGUCCCGUGCGGGUCACCUGACCUUCCUGUCCGGAAAGGGGGGAAACGAAGGUCGUCGCCACCGGGCAGCCCACGACACUGCGGGCGUGAUCGUCGGUUGUAAAACAUGAUGGUUGUUAUAUUUGAUGGUUGUACGAGUAUGCAAAACAUAGAACCCGCG